rnacentral:rRNA from 1 species
GACGAACGCUGGCGGCGUGCUUAACACAUGCAAGUCGAACGGUAAGGCCCUUCGGGGUACACGAGUGGCGAACGGGUGAGUAACACGUGGGUGAUCUGCCCUGCACUUCGGGAUAAGCCUGGGAAACUGGGUCUAAUACCGGAUAGGACCACUGCCUGCAUGGGUGGUGGUGGAAAGCUUUUGCGGUGUGGGAUGGGCCCGCGGCCUAUCAGCUUGUUGGUGGGGUGAGGGCCUACCAAGGCGACGACGGGUAGCCGGCCUGAGAGGGUGACCGGCCACACUGGGACUGAGAUACGGCCCAGACUCCUACGGGAGGCAGCAGUGGGGAAUAUUGCACAAUGGGGGCAAGGCUGAUGCAGCGACGCCGCGUGAGGGAUGACGGCCUUCGGGUUGUAAACCUCUUUCAGCACCGACGAAGCGCAAGUGACGGUAGGUGGAGAAGAAGGACCGACCAACUACGUGCCAGCCGCCGCUGUAA